rnacentral:rRNA from 1 species
UACGUAUGGGGCAAGCGUUAUCCGGAUUUACUGGGUAUAAAGGGAGCGCAGGCGGCCUGGCAAGCCUGAUGUGAAAUACCGGGGCCCAACCCCGGGGCUGCAUUGGGAACUGCCAGGCUGGAGUGCCGGAGAGGCAGGCGGAAUUCCUAGUGUAGCGGUGAAAUGCGUAGAUAUUAGGAGGAACACCAGUGGCGAAGGCGGCCUGCUGGACGGUGACUGACGCUGAGGCUCGAAAGCGUGGGGAGCAAACAGG